GAUGAACGCUGGCGGCGUGCCUAACACAUGCAAGUCGAGCGAACGGACCCUACGCUUGCUUCUUUCUUGUUAGCCGCGCACGUGUGUGUCACACGUGUAUCACCUGCCUAUCUUACUGGUAUAACUUCGAGACACCGGAUCUAACCCCGUAUGAUCUCUUGAACCAUAUUGUUCAUUAGUGAAAUUCGGCCUUUCGGGCUCUUAUCGCUGCUUCCCCGCUGCAUUAGCUAGUUGGUACGGUAACGGCUUAUCAAGGGAACGAGGCAUAGCCGACCUGCGAGGGUGAUCGGCCACACUGGAACUGAGACACGGUCCAGACUACUACGGGAGGUAGCAGUAGGGAAUCUUCCGCAAUGGGCGAAAGACUGACGGAGCAACGCCGCGUGAGUGAUGAAGGUCUUCGGAUCGUAAAACUCUGUUAUUAGGGAAGAACAUAUGUGUAAGUAACUGUGCACAUCUUGACGGUACCUAAUCAGAAAGCCACGGCUAACUACGUG
rnacentral:rRNA from 1 species